rnacentral:rRNA from 1 species
CCUACGGGAGGCUGCAGUGGGGAAUAUUGCACAAUGGGGGAAACCCUGAUGCAGCGACGCCGCGUGAGUGAAGAAGUAAUUCGUUAUGUAAAGCUCUAUCAGCAGGGAAGAAAAUGACGGUACCUGAGUAAGAAGCCCCGGCUAACUACGUGCCAGCAGCCGCGGUAAUACGUAGGGGGCAAGCGUUAUCCGGAUUUACUGGGUGUAAAGGGAGCGUAGACGGCAGUGCAAGUCUGGAGUGAAAGGCGGGGGCUCAACCGCGGGACUGCAUUGGGAACUGGCGCGCUGGAGUGCCGGAGGGGUAGGCGGAAUUCCUAGUGUAGCGGUGAAAUGCGUAGAUAUCAGGAGGAACACCGGUGGCGAAGGCGGCCUGCUGGACUGCGACUGACGUUGAGGCCCGAAAGCGUGGGGAGCAAACAGGAUUAGAUACCCCAGUAGUC